CAAACCCAGCCUUCCUCUCGAUCUCAUCUGGACAUCCAGCCCAGCCCCGCCCCUCACAGCCGGCCGCCGCCUCCUCCUACCCCGCCGCCACGCCUACCCCUACACCAAGUGCCAACACACCAGCGCCCAUCCACUACCGGGGACCCGCGGCCUUCUACCGCCGGCGGCACUCGACGUCGCGGCCAUUGGCGGCUCCCCGACCUUUCUACCAUGGCGCCUCCGGGACUCCUCCCCGCUGCUUCCACCUCGACAUUGGUUUCCCCAACCCCGCUGGCUUCGCCACCAGCCACUCCUUCUAGGCACACUCUAUCUGCCGUCGGACCCAUCUGCCUGGUUCCAAUGGUGAACAUCGCUGCCACCCUAUUGUGAGGCGAGGUGAUGUUCUUCGAACUGCCGGCUUGAUUCUGCCUAGAAGGGGAUAUCAUACUUCUCCUAAUCAGGAUUGUUGUGUAACUGAAUGAUGGUAGGAUGCUGAAUAAUAAUGGAAGAAAAAGGAGUACAGGCUUUACCUAAUGUACCUACAGCAACAAUGGGUUGCCCCACCAAACAUCACUAGAGGACUAGGAAGGAAAACGGUGAUUUCUCAAUCAGGUUCUAUUGGCCGUUCUAGCAUUAGCAUCAUGAAGAUUCUGGAACAGUGCACGACAUGCCCAAUCCCAAGGUCUUCCCUUAGCUGGUGAAGCACAUGAGCCGGUGUCAAGCAAUAUCCCCUGUAUACUUUGUCCUUGUGUUCUUUCCAGGUAUGCAUCCAUAUCAGCUGCAUCAGGGAGCUCCAUGCACAGUGGUACUACUUCCGAACGUGUAGAACAUGCAAUUGUAUGUAAAUCGCCUUGAAAUGAUGGUUGCUGAAUACUGCAUUAUGCUUGAUAGUCAUCUACCUGGACGACUUCAAGCGCUAAUAGAUGCAAAGCAUCCAGGAUGUGAUCAAUCAUAUGCUGGAGAAUGGCAUUGAGACCUUACUUCACUGGAUAAUGGCAUUUAUAUGCGAUUCCAGUCCUUUCACAGUGCAGGUGAACUGGAAAUUCUAUCAAAGACAACUGUCCUUUCUUCAGUGUACAUGCAUGAUAUUACAUGAUUAAACAUACCAUUUUUAACUUCAUUUAGUUGUCUAUAUUAUGCUCUAUGUGCUAUUACCAACAAAAAUAGUGUUACCUCCGUACCAGGCCUUCCAAAUAUCUUAUUUUGGUACGGAGGUAGUACUUUUAGCCUGCAAAGCGACUUCUAUGCCCAUUGUGGCAAUAAUGUGUUUGCACCACUGAAGAGAUAACUUAUUUUUUUCAUUGUAAGAAACACAUCAUGUUUCUUCCCCAUCAUUUAAGUGUGUGCCAUGUUAUCUUU